rnacentral:rRNA from 1 species
GACUCUCGGCACGGAUAUCUCGGCUCUUGCAUCGAUGAAGAACGUAGCGAAAUGCGAUACUUGGUGUGAAUUGCAGAAUCCCGUGAACCAUCGAGUCUUUGAACGCAGUUGCGCCCGAAGCCAUUAGGCCGAGGGCACGCCUGCCUGGGUGUCA